rnacentral:rRNA from 1 species
UCGGAUUGUAAAGCACUUUAAGUUGGGAGGAAGGGCAGUAAGUUAAUACCUUGCUGUUUUGACGUUACCAACAGAAUAAGCACCGGCUAACUUCGUGCCAGCAGCCGCGGUAAUACAAAGGGUGCAAGCGUUAAUCGGAAUUACUGGGCGUAAAGCGCGCGUAGGUGGUUCAGCAAGUUGGAUGUGAAAUCCCCGGGCUCAACCUGGGAACUGCAUCCAAAACUACUGAGCUAGAGUACGGUAGAGGGUGGUGGAAUUUCCUGUGUAGCGGUGAAAUGCGUAAAUAUAGGAAGGAACACCA